ACUCCUACGGGAGGCAGCAGUGGGGAAUUUUGGACAAUGGGCGCAAGCCUGAUCCAGCCAUGCCGCGUGAGUGAAGAAGGCCUUCGGGUUGUAAAGCUCUUUCGGCCGGGAAGAAAUCGUGGUCUCUAACAUAGGCCAUGGAUGACGGUACCGGACUAAGAAGCACCGGCUAACUACGUGCCAGCAGCCGCAGUAAUACGUAGGGUGCGAGCGUUAAUCGGAAUUACUGGGCGUAAAGCGUGCGCAGGCGGUUUGCUAAGACAGGUGUGAAAUCCCCGGGCUUAACCUGGGAACUGCGCUUGUGACUGGCAGGCUAGAGUACGGCAGAGGGGGGUGGAAUUCCUGGUGUAGCAGUGAAAUGCGUAGGGAUCAGGAGGAACACCGAUGGCGAAGGCAGCCCCCUGGGCCUGUACUGACGCUCAUGCACGAAAGCGUGGGGAGCAAACAGGAUUAGAUACCCUGGUAG
rnacentral:rRNA from 1 species